rnacentral:rRNA from 1 species
GACGGGUGAGUAAUGCCUGGGAAUAUGCCUUGAUGUGGGGGAUAACUAUUGGAAACGAUAGCUAAUACCGCAUAAUGCCUACGGGCCAAAGAGGGGGAUCUUCGGACCUCUCGCGUCAAGAUUAGCCCAGGUGGGAUUAGCUAGUUGGUGGGGUAAAGGCUCACCAAGGCGACGAUCCCUAGCUGGUCUGAGAGGAUGAUCAGCCACACUGGAACUGAGACACGGUCCAGACUCCUACGGGAGGCAGCAGUGGGGAAUAUUGCACAAUGGGGGAAACCCUGAUGCAGCCAUGCCGCGUGUAUGAAGAAGGCCUUCGGGUUGUAAAGUACUUUCAGCAGUGAGGAAGGUGGUAGUGUUAAUAGCACUAUCAUUUGACGUUAGCUGCAGAAGAAGCACCGGCUAACUCCGUGCCAGCAGCCGCGGUAAUACGGAGGGUGCGAGCGUUAAUCGGAAUUACUGGGCGUAAAGCGCAUGCAGGCGGUCUGUUAAGCAAGAUGUGA